GACGGAGGAUGCAAGUGUUAUCCGGAAUCACUGGGCGUAAAGCGUCUGUAGGUGGUUUAAAAAGUCUAUUGUUAAAAAUUGAAGCUUAACUUCAAAGAUGCAAUGGAAACUUUUAAACUUGAGUAUGGUAGGGGUAGAGGGAAUUUCCAGUGGAGCGGUGAAAUGCGUAGAUAUCGUCUGGAACGCCGAAGGUGAAAACAGCUCGCUGGGCUGCGCUGACGCUGAGACACGAAAGCCAGGGAGCGAACGGG
rnacentral:rRNA from 1 species